rnacentral:rRNA from 1 species
AACGAACGCUGGCGGCAUGCCUAACACAUGCAAGUCGAACGAGACCUUCGGGUCUAGUGGCGCACGGGUGCGUAACGCGUGGGAACCUGCCUUUAGGUUCGGAAUAACUCAGGGAAAUUUGAGCUAAUACCGGAUGAUGUCUUCGGACCAAAGAUUUAUCGCCUUUAGAUGGGCCCUCGUUGGAUUAGCUAGUUGGGUGGGUAAAGGCCUACCAAGGCGACGAUCAGUAUCUGGUCUGAGAGGACGAUCAGCCACACUGGGACUGAGACACGGCCCAGAAUCCUAGGGGAGGCAGCAGUGGGGAAUUUUGGACAAUGGGCGAAAGCCUGAUCCAGCAAUGCCGCGUGUGUGAAGAAGGCCUUCGGGUUGUAAAGCACUUUUGUCCGGAAAGAAAUCCUUGGCCCUAAUACGGUCGGGGGAUGACGGUACCGGAAGAAUAAGCACCGGCUAACUACGUG